CUGCCGGGACGGUACCCGUGCCAGGGUGAACCGCGGGGCUAUUUGACUGACGUGCCGCAGAGCAAAUCAGUGGCUCGGGUUUAAUGGGAAAGUGUUAAAGUUCCACAUGAAUGUACGUGAAGUAGCCUGGCAUCCACAAAUCAUUUGGUUGCACCUUGCAGUCCCCACCUUGAGGGCUGAAGUGUACUUGAGCCUGGUCCCUCUGCUCCAUCCUCAUAACCCGUGUCUGGCAAAAUUCUCAGGACUUACCAACGAAGAUUUUUCUACUCUGAGGUUAUUCUUGAUUUGUAAUCUGGAUGUAUUUGACACCUCCUUAUUCCUUCCUGCAGCUACAUAACUGGAAUUCAUGCCCGUGUGGAGAGAGAAAGGGAAGAGAAAGAAGAAUCUUUGUACACUAAGGAUCACAUGCAACCCAUUAGAAGUGCUACAGCUAUGGCAGAUCUCCUGUGUCUCUUGAGUUAUAUAUGCAGCACUGAACAUGGGAAGAAGACGGUUGCAGCCAUUUAAUAGUAAUAUAUUUAAACUUCAGAAAAGAGAAGAUGGGCUACAGAGACAGCAGAAGGAAACAC